AAAAAAAUCUAGCACCCCAAUCACCCGUGAGUCAGACAAACAAAGUUAAGAACUAAAGAGGUACAGUAGCUUGGAAGUUGUAGUCGAGCGUGUAAAAUGGGUAGUAUCGGUAACAGCUUGUUUUCUUAUUCAGUUCUCAAAGCUCCUCUUGAAAACAAGAAGAUAUUGAUGAACUCUGCAUGCUAUUCCUUUGUGUCCAUUUCCAAGAGUAGCUCAAGCUUGAGAAAGAUUAAUUGUAAACUACCUGAGACUCAGACUGGGAUUCAGCAGCACAGACACACAAGCAAAAAAGCCUCCGAUUCAAAGACCAACAAGAUGGAAGAGUACAACAUUGCUAUGAAGGGGAUGAUGAGGAACCCUUAUGAGUAUCAUCAUGAUCUUGGCAUGAACUAUACCCUGAUAACUGAAAAUCUAAUAGUGGGCUCCCAGCCACAGAAACCUGAAGAUAUAGAUCACCUAAAAAAGGAAGAGAAUGUGGCAUAUAUUUUGAACUUGCAGCAGGACAAGGAUGUUGAAUAUUGGGGAAUUGACCUGCAGUCAAUAAUAAAAAGAUGCAAAGAACUUGGAAUCCGUCACAUGAGGAGGCCUGCAAGAGACUUUGAUCCAGAUUCAUUGAGAAGUGGAUUACCUAAAGCUGUUUCAUCACUGGAAUGGGCCAUUUUUGAGGGGAAAGGAAAAGUGUAUGUGCACUGCACUGCUGGAUUGGGGAGGGCACCAGCUGUUGCAAUCUCUUACAUGUUCUGGUUUUGUGGGAUGAAUUUGAAUACAGCAUAUGAUACACUAACUGCAAAAAGGCCUUGUGGCCCCAAUAAGAGAGCAAUACGUGGAGCUACUUAUGAUCUAGCUAAGAAUGAUCCAUGGAAAGAGCCUUUUGAGAAUCUUCCAGAAAAUGCAUUUGAGGGUAUGGCAGAUUGGGAGAGGAACUUGAUUCAAGACCGUGUCCGUUCCCUCCGUGGAAGUUGAGCACUUAGCUGUGCUCCUAAUAUAUUGGAGCUGGUCAUUCCAAGGACUAUAUGUUUGAGUAAUAAGCAGAUGUACUUGAUGUUUCCAUGCCAUUAGAAAUUCCCAGCAUCUUAUCAACAAUAAAUAGCAAGAUAAUGAAACAUAGAGUGGGUACAGGGGCAAUUUCAGGCCUGCACUCAAAGUUGGAGCUUUUCAAGUAUACUUUACCAGCCUCUCUUGGAAAGAAUUAAAAUCUAGCUUUAAUUGUGUAUGUAUGAUUUAUGAUUCAAAUAAUGUAUUUAAGAAGCAAAUAAAAUUGAGCUGCCAAGAUGGCACUGGGGGUUUAGCAGUUGCAA